UACGUAGGGUGCAAUCGUUGUCCGGAAUUAUUGGGCGUAAAGAGCUCGUAGGCGGUCUGUCGCGUCGGCUGUGGAAACCCGGGGCUCAACCCCGGGCCUGCAGUCGAUACGGGCAGACUAGAGUGUGGUAGGGGAGACUGGAAUUCCUGGUGUAGCGGUGAAAUGCGCAGAUAUCAGGAGGAACACCGGUGGCGAAGGCGGGUCUCUGGGCCAUAACUGACGCUGAGGAGUGAAAGCGUGGGGAGCGAACAGG
rnacentral:rRNA from 1 species